CAAUAGCGUAUAUUAAAGUUGUUGCAGUUAAAAAGCUCGUAGUUGGAUUUCUGGUUGAAGCGACCGGUCGGGCGUUGAUUCGUCUGCACUGGAGUCGGUUUUGGCCAUCCUCUAGGAAAGUGCGUCUGGUAUUAAGUUAUCGGGCGUAUGAUCCUGGUCUUUUACUGUGAAAAAAUUAGAGUGUUUAAAGCAGGCCUUCGCCUUGAAUACAUUAGCAUGGAAUAAUAAGAUAGGACUUUGGUCUAUUUUGUUGGUUUGCAGACCGAAGUAAUGAUUAAUAGGGAUAGUUGGGGGUAUUUAUAUUCCGAUGUCAGAGGUGAAAUUCUUAGACUUUCGGAAGAUAAACUUAUGCGAAAGCAUUUACCAAGGAUGUUUUCAUUAA
rnacentral:rRNA from 1 species